rnacentral:tRNA from 4 species
GCCGAUGUAACUCAGUUGGUAGAGUAGCGGUUUUGUAAACCGCCUGUCGGGGGUUCGAGUCCCUUCAUCGGCU